CAGCAUAUCAAUAAGCGGAGGAAAAGAAACCAACAGGGAUUGCCCCAGUAACGGCGAGUGAAGCGGCAACAGCUCAAAUUUGAAAUCUGGCCCCAGGCCCGAGUUGUAAUUUGCAGAGGAUGCUUUUGGCGCGGUGCCUUCUAAGUUCCCUGGAACGGGACGCCAUAGAGGGUGAGAGACCCGUACGGUUGGACACCAAGCCUUUGUAAAGCUCCUUCGACGAGUCGAGUAGUUUGGGAAUGCUGCUCUAAAUGGGAGGUAUAUUUCUUCUAAAGCUAAAUACCGGCCAGAGACCGAUAGCGCACAAGUAGAGUGAUCGAAAGAUGAAAAGCACUUUGAAAAGAGGGUUAAACAGCACGUGAAAUUGUUAAAAGGGAAGCGCUUGUGACCAGACUUGCGCCCGGUGAAUCACCCAGCUCUCGCGGCUGGGGCACUUUGCCGGCUCAGGCCAGCAUCAGCUUGCCGUCGGGGACAAAAGCUUCGGGAACGUAGCUCUCUUCGGGGAGUGUUAUAGCCUGUUGCAUAAUACCCUUCGGCGGGCUGAGGUACGCGCUCCGCAAGGAUGCUGGCAUAAUGGUCAUCAGCGACCCGUCUUGAAACACGGACCAAGGAGUCAACCUUAUGUGCGAGUGUUUGGGUGUUAAACCCCUACGCGUAAUGAAAGUGAACGCAGGUGAGAGCUUCGGCGCAUCAUCGACCGAUCCUGAUGUUCUCGGAUGGAUUUGAGUAAGAGCAUAUAGGGUUGGACCCGAAAGAAGGUGAACUAUGCGUGUAUAGGGUGAAGCCAGAGGAAACUCUGGUGGAGGCUCGCAGCGGUUCUGACGUGCAAAUCGAUCGUCAAAUAUGCGCAUGGGGGGCGAAAGACUAAUCGAACCUUCUAGUAGCUGGUUCCCCA
rnacentral:rRNA from 1 species